GUACGGGUUGUGAGAGCAAGAGCCCGGAGAUGGAUUCUGAGACACGAAUCCAGGCCCUACGGGGUGCAGCAGGCGCGAAAACUUUACAAUGCUGGAAACAGCGAUAAGGGGACCUCGAGUGCCAGGUUACAAAUCUGGCUGUCAUGAUGCCUAAAAAGCAUUGCAUAGCAAGGGCCGGGCAAGACCGGUGCCAGCCGCCGCGGUAACACCGGCGGCUCGAGUGGUAACCGUUAUUAUUGGGUCUAAAGGGUCUGUAGCCGGCCGGAUAAGUCUCUUGGGAAAUCUGGCAGCUUAACUGUCAGGCUUUCAGGAGAUACUGUCUGGCUCGAGGCCGGGAGAGGUGAGAGGUACUUCAGGGGUAGGGGUGAAAUCUUGUAAUCCUUGAAGGACCACCAGUGGCGAAGGCGUCUCACCAGAACGGACCUGACGGCAAGGGACGAAAGCUAGGGGCACGAACCGGAUUAGAUACCCGGGUAGUCCUAGCCGUAAACGAUACUCGCUAGGUGUCGGCCACGGUGCGACCGUUGUCGGUGCCGUAGGGAAGCCGUGAAGCGAGCCACCUGGGAAGUACGGCCGCAAGGCUGAAACUUAA
rnacentral:rRNA from 1 species